AUGCCACUAUUAUCUCUCUUAGUUCUCUUCCUCUCCUCGGCUUCGUCAGAAGGUCAGGCUCUCUGCAGCGACAAUAAUGGCGGCAUGUACAUGCCAAACAGCACCUACAAAUCCAACCUUGUAUCCCUCGCUGAACUACUGUUUGCCAAAGCCACAGAGGAUCACUCAGCUACUGGCACGGCUGGCAUAGGACCAGACAAGGUCUAUGGUGCAGUGCUUUGUCGGGGUGAUUCUGACGGCUCCGACUGUCGGAAGCACCUAACCAGGGCCCUUGAUGAAGCAAUCAACAGCAAAGCUGGCAACUCUUACUCCCUCCAGAGUAACAACGUGACCUACUACUACGACCAAUACCAGGCACAGAUAAGCUUCUCCGACCAGGACUUCCUUUCCAACUUCAGUGACAUGCCCGGGUGCACCGUGAAUACUAACCUGAAUUCUGUGACGGCCACUGUAGUAACCGAGCGUUAUGAAGACCUUGUCACCAAGCUGCUGCAUGCGCUUGCUGAUGUUGUGGUGAGCCGAGCAGAAAAAUAUGCAGUCGGCAAAGUGUGGUUUGAGGAGACAGGACAGACGGUGUAUGGGCUGGCGCAGUGCAUACGGGAUAUGCCAUAUGAGCGUUGCGUGGCAUGCCUGGAUCGCAUAAUCUCUGGCAGGCAGAAUAAGAUCAUUUCUGGCCAGAUGGGGGCAGCAUUUCUUGGGGUGUGGUGCACAUUGCGUUAUGAGACGGACACACAGUUCUUUACUGAUACCAAGAUGCGGUCGCUCGAUGCGCUCCCAAGAAGUAAAACACACUUUUUUCGAUGGAACAAUGCAGUCUUGGUUGGCGUUGGAGGUUUCAUACUAGUAAUAUCAAUUUCUUGCUUGGUUUUUCAUAUCUGGGUCAAAACACAACGACGAAGAGAACAAACAAUAUUUAAACUAGGACAGCUGUAUUUGUCAAUACAAAUUGCAAUAAAUCUUUGGAGGAUGGGAGGAGCCAACCCAGAAUUUUCACUUUAUGAUUUCUCCAAGAUAAAAGAAGCUACAAAUAACUUCUCAAUUGGUAACAAACUGGGACAAGGUGGCUUUGGUCCUGUAUAUAAGGGCCGAUUAAGAAAUGGACACAAAAUAGCAGUCAAGAGACUGGAAACAUCUUCUUUGCAAGGUUUACUGGAAUUCCAAAACGAAAUUCAACUUAUAGCAAAGGUUCAACACAAAAAUCUCGUUAAACUGCUGGGAUGUUGCACUCAAGGAGAUCGAGAAAAGAUGCUUGUAUAUGAAUACAUGGAAAACAAAAGCCUAGACUACUUCAUCUUUGAUACCAUUAAAGGAAGGCGAUUAAACUGGUCAAAACGUUUGCGCAUAAUUGAUGGGACAGCUCAAGGUCUUCUUUAUCUUCACAACUACUCACGAAUAUGCAUUGUUCAUAGGGAUUUGAAAGCAAGUAACAUUCUCUUGGAUAGUGUCAUGAAUCCAAAAAUAUCUGAUUUCGGAGUGGCCAGAAUAUUCUGCUCAAAUAUGGCAGAGUCAAAUACCACCAGAAUAGUGGGAACACAUGGCUAUAUACCUCCGGAGUAUGCUUUUGAGGGGGUUUGCUCGAUCAAGACAGAUGUAUUUAGCUUUGGCGUAUUGAUUCUGGAAAUAAUAAGUGGAAAGAGGACAGCCCAGUUCUAUCGAUACAAUGGGAAACUAUACAAUCUCAUUGCAUAUGCCUGGCAACUUUGGAUAGAUGGAAAAUGGAGUGAGAUGGCUUAUUGUCCAGCAGAGAACGAAAAUCAAGAGAUAGAGAGGUGCGUUCAUGUGGCACUUUUAUGUGUUCAAGAAAGUGCAGAGGAUCGACCAACUAUGGAGCAUGUUGUCACAAUGCUAAACACCAAGAGCAUGAGCUUACCUCCACCUAAGCAACCAGCUUACUUCCAUGUAAAUCCGAGUGAGCAAGAAGUUUCAUCAUGCAACAUUACUAUAAGCAUCACAUUAGAGAGAUAA
rnacentral:rRNA from 1 species